rnacentral:rRNA from 1 species
CAUUACCGAGUUUACAACUCCCAAACCCCUGUGAACAUACCACUUGUUGCCUCGGCGGAUCAGCCCGCUCCCGGUAAAACGGGACGGCCCGCCAGAGGACCCCUAAAACUCUGUUUCUAUAUGUAACUUCUGAGUAAAACCAUAAAUAAAUCAAAACUUUCAACAACGGAUCUCUUGGUUCUGGCAUCGAUGAAGAACGCAGCAAAAUGCGAUAAGUAAUGUGAAUUGCAGAAUUCAGUGAAUCAUCGAAUCUUUGAACGCACAUUGCGCCCGCCAGUAUUCUGGCGGGCAUGCCUGUUCGAGCGUCAUUUCAACCCUCAAGCACAGCUUGGUGUUGGGACUCGCGUUAAUUCGCGUUCCUCAAAUUGAUUGGCGGUCACGUCGAGCUUCCAUAGCGUAGUAGUAAAACCCUCGUUACUGGUAAUCGUCGCGGCCACGCCGUUAAACCCCAACUUCUGAAUGUUGACCUCGGAUCAGGUAGGAAUACCCGCUGAACUUAA